CAGUUGAUUGCAUCCAUGGACACAGAACCCAGGGAUACAGAGGGCCUUGACUUUGAAUAAAUGAGACAGGUCUCCCUAUUCCCUGAGACACAACAGUAUUGAAAUUAGGCCAACUCAUAACCCUGCAGUGGCCUCUUAAGUGCUCAAGUGAAAGGAAGAGUCACACAUCUCUCACAUUAUAUCAAAAGCUAGAAAUGAUGAAACUUAGUGAGGAAGGCAUGUGGAAAGCCAAGAUAGGCUGAAAGCUAGGCCUUUUGCAAACAUUUAGCCAAGUUGUGAAUGAAAAGGAAAAGUUCUUGAAGGAAAUUGAAAGUGGUACUCCAGUGAACACACAAUGAUGAGAAAGCAAAACAGCCUAUCACUGAUACAGAAGUUUUCAUGGUCUGGAUAGAAGAUCAAGCCCCUCACAACAUUCCCUUAAGCCAAAACCUGGUCCAGAGCAAGGCCCUAACUCUCUUCAGUUCUGUGAAGGCUGAGAGAGGUGAGGAAGCAGCAGAAGAAAAGUUUGAAGCUAGCAGAGGUUGGUCCAUGAGGUUUAAGGAAAGAAGCUGUCUCUAUAACAUCAAAGUGCAAGGCGAAGCAGCAAGUGCUGAUGUAGUAGCUGCAGCAAGUUAUCCAGAAUCUAGCUAAGAUAAUUAAUGAGGGUGGUUAGACUAAACAACACAUUUUCAAUGCAGACAAAACAGCUGUCUAUUGGAAGAGGAUGCCAUCUAGGACUUUCAUAGCCAGAGAGGAGAAGUCAAUGCCUGACUUCAAAGCUUCAAAGGACAGGCUGACUAUCUUGUUAGGGGCUAAUGGAGCUGGUGACUUGAAGUUGAAGCCAAUCCUCACUUAUCUUUCUGAAAAUCUUAGGAUCCUUAAGAAUUAUGCUAAAUCUACUUUGCCUGUGCUCUAUAAAUGGAACAACAAGCCUGGAUUACAGCACAUCUGUUUACCACAUGGUUUUCUGAAUAUUUUAAGCCCAUUGUUGAGAUCUCCUGCUCAGAAGAAAAGAUAGCUUUCAAAAUAUGACUGCUCAUUGACAAAGCAUCUGGUCACCCAAGAGCUCUGAUGGAGAGGUACAAUGAGAUUUAUGUUGUUUUCAUGCCUGCUAACACAACAUCCAUUGUGCAGCCCAUGGAUCAAGGAGUCAUUUUGACUUUCAAGUCUUAUUGUUUAAGAUAUACAUUUUGUAAGGCUAUAGCUGCCAUACAUAGUGAUUUGAAAAGAUUAACUCUAAUUUUGAAAGAUGUUCUACUGUGGGUAAAAUGCUAUCAAACAUGAUUGCAUGCUACGAGAAAUCGUUCAUGAAAGGAAGAGUCAAUAGAUGUGGCAACUUCAUUGUUGUCUUUUUUUUUCUUUAAUUUUAUUUCUUUAUUUUUAUAAAGCACGUUCUUAUUAGUUCUCUAUUUUAUACAUAUUAGUGUAUAGAUGUCAAUCAGAAUUGCUGCAGCCACCCAACCUUCAGCAACUACCAUGCUCAUCAGUCAGUAGCCAUCAACAUUGAGGCAAGACCCUCCACCAGCAAAAAGAUUAAGACUCGCUGAAGGUUCAGAUGAUGGUUAGCAUUUUUAAGCAAUAAAGUAUUUUUAGAUUAAGAUAUGUACAUUGUUUUUUAGACAUAAGGCUAUUGCACACUUCAGUAUUGUGGAAACAUAACUUUUAUAUGCACUGGGAAACCAACAAAUUCAUGUUACUCACUUUAUUGUGAUAUUCACUUUAUUGCAGUGGUCUGCAACCAAACUGGCAGUAUCUCCAAGGUACCUGCCAUAACCUGUAUAACCUGAGGUGUAACCAUGCAGGCCCCUAUUGGUCCUUCCCUUGACAGACCCCCACCCCCACCCCCACAUCCUCCACCUGCCUCUUGUUGGUAGAAAAACUUUAACCACCUAGGCCUUCCCUGAGUUCCAAAGAGCAAACUUAAUCAGAGAAUGAGAAAAUGCAGAAACAAAGGAAAACAGUCAAGACAAAAAUAAUAACAGUUUAACCAUUAAACAAAGUCAAGGACCUUUAGUUCCUCCUCAAGGGCUAUAGAUAAUAUUCUGAGCCAAGUCCUUUGAGCUGUUUUGCAGAUACAGAAACCGCCACCAGGUGGGAGAAGUUAACUGCGUGCUGCCCACAAGCCCAUAGACCCCAGACCAGCUGGAACCAGAAGGUUGGUGAUGUUGACUCCUGAUUACCUCACCACCGACCAGUCAGAAGAAUGUCUAGGAGCGGAUCAGGUACCCUGAGACCCUCUGCCUCACCCUGUCUUUCAAAGCCUUUCCUUGAAAUCCAUCUGGAGUUCAGGUUUUUUGAGCAUUAGCCACCCAUACUCCUUGCUUAGCCCUGCAGUACACUGCACUUUCCUCCCCCACGGCCCCGUGUUGGUAGAUUGGCUUUACUGUGUGCAGGCGAGCGGACCCAAGUUUGGUUCAGUAACAGUACACCUCCUUGGUUCUAAGUUUACCCUGCGAAAUGCUAAUGUUGGUGGAAGGGGACAACACUGUUGAUGCCCUUCAGCCAAACGCCUCCUGGCACACACCUGUCUGUGAACAGGUUGGGUUUAACGCUGUUGCAACAGGAAGUCUGCACAUCAAGGGCACACCUUAGGGAAGCGAGGGGCAGCUCAGUGAGAGGGUGUUGGACGUUGGCCUUCGGUUAGGUGAUUUGGGGAGUCCAGAGAUGCAGAGGUUCACUCUGGAUUGGGUGCUGUUCAGAAGUAGGGUCAAGUCUUUGAUUAGCUAUUUCAGCAUGAUCCUAUCUAGAAGGAGGGCAGAUUGGAGCUAAAGCUGCAACUGGUGAAGAAGCUGCAGUCACCCAUUAGCCAGGAGAGGGGUGUUUGGUAUCAUGUGGUUUGCACAGAGAUCUUGUGUUUGUGUUUAGACAAAACUGUGAAGUAGUCUUGUGUUGUCUCCCUUCAUUAGUCAGAGUGGGCUUGUCUGAUCUCCUUCUGUGUGCAGAAGGAGAUCACCGGGGCCUAGCUGGGAGCACCAGGCCAGCUUCUGCCACCACCCAGACCUACCUCUAAGUGUCAGACCAGGACCCAGAUGUCGGCUGCUUUGUUCUUUCUCAGCUGCUACUAGAUAAGUGUAUGUUGUCUGAAAUUUGGCUCCUGGCACACAGUUUUCCUGUUGAGGUCCUGAAGAUAGGCCCUAACCUCUCUGGGAAUGAGGUGGAGGCUUUCCUGAAGAGAGGUUAUUCUUCCACCAGCCACCCAGAAAAGUUUGUCCAUCCUUAAUUGGAAGUUGGGUUCCAGAGAUUCACCCCUGACUAUGAUGUGAUCCCCUUCAGUGAAGCAGUCCUUCAUCCAAACAUCAGUCGGGAGCAAAAUGUUAUACUCAAGUCUGGAUUAUUCUGAUACUGUAUCACUUUAGAAAGUAGUUUACAUUCAUUUUUGAUUGACCCUCUUUAUUAAAAUUAGAAAUUUUUUAGGAAAAACAAUCUUUAGUAUCUAAUGACCUUUAUAAGAAAAAAGUCCUAUGGCAUUGGCAUCAACCUCUAAUUUUCUAUACUCCCCAAUUCUCUAUGGUACCAAUGUGUACAAAAAGUGAAUUAUGGCUAUUUGGGUCAUGCAGCAAAUAAUUUGAGAAACUGCAGAGAAAUAUACUAUGAGGAAAAUCUACAGUGUUCUGCCCCAUGCUGUCAUAUUUCAGUAACUGUUUAGUCAUUUGGCAUUAUACAAGUGCUUCAACUUAGGAUGCCCUUGGUGCCUUAGAAUGAAUGAAAACAGUUAUUUACUGUAUGUAAAAGAAAUGGAUUCUAAUGUAUUUGUUACUAUAAUCUUAAUGCAUUAAGUGAAGCUCUAAGUAAAUACUUGAUGAAUUGAUGGUAGCAGUGUUAAUUUUUUCUAAGUUUUCCAAGUUCCUCGUUUUGUCUGUUUUGUUUUGUUUUUACAAAAGCUUUAAAAUUUAGUACAGGAAAGGGAAGAAACUCCUAUUGACAUGCUUCAUAAAAAGGGGGGAAAAGCCUAUUUUCCUUUGGGUCUGAUCUGCUUGCUGGGUACCGUAAGUCUAACUGCAGCUUUGAUGGCAUAGGGAGAAUGUAGGUGAUAUGCAUGUAGGUGAUAUGUUUGUCAGCCUCAGCAACGAACACACAUUACUCUAGGUAAACAGAUAGGUCCCAUAUAAUACUUAAAAUACAAAUUGUUUAAUCUAAGUAUUUGAUUCUUAAGUAAUCUUUAAAAUGCUUCUCAUGUUUCAAAAGACAGAUAAAAACACCACCAGGACGUUAUGUUGAACAUGAAAAUUCUUCCCACAGAAACACUUAUUUCAGAGAAUUGAUGUCAGUUACCUUAGUAACUGCUAAAGGCACAUAGUGAGAAAAGUGUCAACUAAAUUUUAAAUAUUAAAAUAUAGAGA